rnacentral:lncRNA from 12 species
AAGAAAUACAGCCUAGGUCAGCUUUGUUUUGUCUGUAUGCUCAUCUUAUUUGGUUUCCAUUCUCUCACACUCCUCCUUCCCAGAUAGCUCAAGGUCUAGAAUGGCAGAGAAAACUGAAUAUAUGAGGUCAUGGGCUAAAAAGCUUCCAUGAUUUAGUUCUUUUGUUAAAGGCUGCAUAGAAGAGAAGAAGCAGCUAACUUCCAAAACAGGGAAAUGUAAGGAAGCAUGUGUCAAAUACUUUGAGAAAAAACAUUAUGGUGCAUCUUGCCAAAGGCAUAAUAUAUAAGGGAUCAAUUUUCUUCUCUAUUCAGCAAUUACAAAUAAGUACUUAUCCCUUACUUGAGGGUAAGUUAUCAGUAAAAUCAUUUGAGUUCUUUUGAUCUUAUUUAGCAGUAAUUAUCAAAUUGUUCUUGAUUUUGAAUUGUGCAUCUCAAUUCCAGUUAUGUUACAACUUCAAGAGUUCUUGUCAUUUGCCAAAAUAAACACCAAAUCAGAAAAAAAAAAAAAAAACUU